rnacentral:lncRNA from 1 species
UUUCUCCUCAUUUUUUUUUUAAAGUUGACUCAAAAUUUAACACUCGCGUAGUACACACUAUAAAAUAUAAAGGGAUCAUACUAAUACUUACAAAGGAUUCUGGGCUAUAAUAGAAUGCAAUUUUCGUAGAAGAAAGCAACCGUAUCUUUCAAAGACGAAUGAAGUUACGUAGGAAGUCUGUGGUAGUUUAAUAGAACUUUGGAUCAGUCAAUCAUUGCUUCCGUUUAAGGGAUCAUUCUAAUACUUACAAAGGAUUCUGGGCUAUAAUAGAAUUCAAUUUUCUUGGAAGAAAGCAACCGUAUAUUUCAAAGACGAAUGAAGUUACGUAGGAAGUCUCUGGUUGUUUAAUAGAACUUGGGAUCAGUCAAUCAUUGCUUCCGUUUAAGGAUAGGUAUAAAAUUGGAGUAAUUUUCUAUGGAUACAAGGAAGAAGGCAAAAUGCUACAUAAUAUCUUCACAAAAUUCCAUGAGAUCCUCCUGGGGAAUUAUUUAUAUUUGCAAAUCAAAUGAUGGACCAUCAAACAGGACUCCAUAAUUAUUGAGGGUUGUCUAAUGAAACGGUUAAUGGAAUAAGAAACAGUCAAAGGACAAUGAUUGGCUAAUUGUUUAUUGAAACAGCAGAAGAUAUAGUGCAAACAUUGUUGAACAAGUAAUUAAAGGCGCGUUAUAUUAAUACUACAACACCACACACUCCUUCCCCACUCACACGAGCAUUGCUAGCUCUCUGUGUUGGUUAAUAAAAUUUCCUAAUUCAACAUUAGUGAAUUUCAUUAGCUGAUGCGGUUGGUUAACAGUGUUUUUGUCGGUGUGGAUCCCCGGCUUAAGAUGACUCCAGAGCGCGGCGCGGCCUUCCCCAAGAGAGGAGACUUCUUGGGUCACCCCCUAACCCCGAUGUUCGGGCAUCGAUGACCUGUGUAGCAUGCAGAGGUACCCAAGGGAGUCACCACCCUCUGAUUUACGAGCUAGGUGUUCUAAUGCUAGAGGCUUCGGCCGGAUACAACCUGGCACCCAAGCUCCGAGAUUUCUUCGUGCACGUAUUCCGUGACCCUCGAAGAG